rnacentral:rRNA from 1 species
CCCGGCGACCGGCGCACGGGUGAGUAACACGUAUGAAACCUGCCCGUAGCAGGGGGAUAAGCGGAAGAAAUUCCGUCUAAUACCGCGUAACAACCCAUGGAGGCAUCUCUGUGGGUUUAAAGGAAGCGAUUCCGGCUACGGAAGGUCAUGCGUCGCAUUAGCUUGUUGGCGGGGUAACGGCCCACCAAGGCGACGAUGCGUAGGGGUUCUGAGAGGAAGGUCCCCCACACUGGUACUGAGACACGGACCAGACUCCUACGGAAGGCAGCAG